rnacentral:piRNA from 1 species
UAAUUCGGUUACAUCCAAUAG